UACGGAGGGGGCUAGCGUUGUUCGGAAUUACUGGGCGUAAAGCGCACGUAGGCGGCUUUGUAAGUUAGAGGUGAAAGCCCGGGGCUCAACUCCGGAACUGCCUUUAAGACUGCAUCGCUUGAAUCCAGGAGAGGUGAGUGGAAUUCCGAGUGUAGAGGUGAAAUUCGUAGAUAUUCGGAAGAACACCAGUGGCGAAGGCGGCUCACUGGACUGGUAUUGACGCUGAGGUACGAAAGCGUGGGGAGCAAACAGG
rnacentral:rRNA from 1 species